rnacentral:rRNA from 1 species
UACGUAGGGGGCAAGCGUUGUCCGGAUUUAUUGGGCGUAAAGAGCGUGUAGGCGGCCAGGUAGGUCCGUUGUGAAAACUGGAGGCUUAACCUCCAGCUGUCGAUGGAAACCAUCUGGCUAGAGUCCGGAAGAGGAGAGUGGAAUUCCUGGUGUAGCGGUGAAAUGCGCAGAUAUCAGGAGGAACACCGGUGGCGAAGGCGGCUUGCUGGGCCAGUUCUGACGCUGAGGAGCGAAAGCGUGGGGAGCGAACAGG